rnacentral:rRNA from 1 species
GGCCUAUCAGCUUGUUGGUGGGGUAACGGCCCACCAAGGCUCCGACGGGUAGCUGGUCUGAGAGGACGACCAGCCACACUGGGACUGAGACACGGCCCAGACUCCUACGGGAGGCAGCAGUGGGGAAUCUUGCGCAAUGGGCGAAAGCCUGACGCAGCAACGCCGCGUGGGGGACGAAGGCCUUCGGGUUGUAAACCCCUUUCAGCAGGGACGAACAUGACGGUACCUGCAGAAGAAGCCCCGGCCAACUACGUGCCAGCAGCCGCGGUAAUACGUAGGGGGCGAGCGUUGUCCGGAUUUAUUGGGCGUAAAGAGCUCGUAGGCGGUUUGGCAAGUCGGGUGUGAAAACUCCGGGCUCAACUCGGAGACGCCACUCGAUACUGCUAUGACUCGAGUCCGGUAGGGGAGUGCGGAAUUCCUGGUGUAGCGGUGAAAUGCGCAGAUAUCAGGAGGAACACCGGUGGCGAAGGCGGCACUCUGG